rnacentral:rRNA from 1 species
AGGGGAGUGAAAAAGAACCUGAAACCGUGUACGUACAAGCAGUGGGAGCCUCUUUUAUGGGGUGACUGCGUACCUUUUGUAUAAUGGGUCAGCGACUUAUAUUCUGUAGCAAGGUUAACCGAAUAGGGGAGCCGAAGGGAAACCGAGUCUUAACUGGGCGUUAAGUUGCAGGGUAUAGACCCGAAACCCGGUGAUCUAGCCAUGGGCAGGUUGAAGGUUGGGUAACACUAACUGGAGGACCGAACCGACUAAUGUUGAAAAAUUAGCGGAUGACUUGUGGCUGGGGGUGAAAGGCCAAUCAAACCGGGAGAUAGCUGGUUCUCCCCGAAAGCUAUUUAGGUAGCGCCUCGUGAAUUCAUCUCCGGGGGUAGAGCACUGUUUCGGCAAGGGGGUCAUCCCGACUUACCAACCCGAUGCAAACUGCGAAUACCGGAGAAUGUUAUCACGGGAGACACACGGCGGGUGCUAACGUCCGUCGUGAAGAGGGAAACAACCCAGACCGCCAGCUAAGGUCCCAAAGUCAUGGUUAAGUGGGAAACGAUGUGGGAAGGCCCAGACAGCCAGGAUGUUGGCUUAGAAGCAGCCAUCAUUUAAAGAAAGCGUAAUAGCUCACUGGUCGAGUCGGCCUGCGCGGAAGAUGUAACGGGGCUAAACCAUGCACCGAAGCUGCGGCAGCGACACUAUGUGUUGUUGGGUAGGGGAGCGUUCUGUAAGCCUGUGAAGGUGUGCUGUGAGGUAUGCUGGAGGUAUCAGAAGUGCGAAUGCUGACAUAAGUAACGAUAAAGCGGGUGAAAAGCCCGCUCGCCGGAAGACCAAGGGUUCCUGUCCAACGUUAAUCGGGGCAGGGUGAGUCGACCCCUAAGGCGAGGCCGAAAGGCGUAGUCGAUGGGAAACAGGUUAAUAUUCCUGUACUUGGUGUUACUGCGAAGGGGGGACGGAGAAGGCUAUGUUGGCCGGGCGACGGUUGUCCCGGUUUAAGCGUGUAGGCUGGUUUUCCAGGCAAAUCCGGAAAAUCAAGGCUGAGGCGUGAUGACGAGGCACUACGGUGCUGAAGCAACAAAUGCCCUGCUUCCAGGAAAAGCCUCUAAGCAUCAGGUAACAUCAAAUCGUACCCCAAACCGACACAGGUGGUCAGGUAGAGAAUACCAAGGCGCUUGAGAGAACUCGGGUGAAGGAACUAGGCAAAAUGGUGCCGUAACUUCGGGAGAAGGCACGCUGAUAUGUAGGUGAAGUCCCUUGCGGAUGGAGCUGAAAUCAGUCGAAGAUACCAGCUGGCUGCAACUGUUUAUUAAAAACACAGCACUGUGCAAACACGAAAGUGGACGUAUACGGUGUGACGCCUGCCCGGUGCCGGAAGGUUAAUUGAUGGGGUUAGCGGUAACGCGAAGCUCUUGAUCGAAGCCCCGGUAAACGGCGGCCGUAACUAUAACGGUCCUAAGGUAGCGAAAUUCCUUGUCGGGUAAGUUCCGACCUGCACGAAUGGCGUAAUGAUGGCCAGGCUGUCUCCACCCGAGACUCAGUGAAAUUGAACUCGCUGUGAAGAUGCAGUGUACCCGCGGCAAGACGGAAAGACCCCGUGAACCUUUACUAUAGCUUGACACUGAACAUUGAGCCUUGAUGUGUAGGAUAGGUGGGAGGCUUUGAAGUGUGGACGCCAGUCUGCAUGGAGCCGACCUUGAAAUACCACCCUUUAAUGUUUGAUGUUCUAACGUUGGCCCCUGAUCGGGGUUGCGGACAGUGUCUGGUGGGUAGUUUGACUGGGGCGGUCUCCUCCUAAAGAGUAACGGAGGAGCACGAAGGUUGGCUAAUCCUGGUCGGACAUCAGGAGGUUAGUGCAAUGGCAUAAGCCAGCUUGACUGCGAGCGUGACGGCGCGAGCAGGUGCGAAAGCAGGUCAUAGUGAUCCGGUGGUUCUGAAUGGAAGGGCCAUCGCUCAACGGAUAAAAGGUACUCCGGGGAUAACAGGCUGAUACCGCCCAAGAGUUCAUAUCGACGGCGGUGUUUGGCACCUCGAUGUCGGCUCAUCACAUCCUGGGGCUGAAGUAGGUCCCAAGGGUAUGGCUGUUCGCCAUUUAAAGUGGUACGCGAGCUGGGUUUAGAACGUCGUGAGACAGUUCGGUCCCUAUCUGCCGUGGGCGCUGGAGAACUGAGGGGGGCUGCUCCUAGUACGAGAGGACCGGAGUGGACGCAUCACUGGUGUUCGGGUUGUCAUGCCAAUGGCACUGCCCGGUAGCUAAAUGCGGAAGAGAUAAGUGCUGAAAGCAUCUAAGCACGAAACUUGCCCCGAGAUGAGUUCUCCCUGACUCCUUGAGAGUCCUGAAGGAACGUUGAAGACGACGACGUUGAUAGGCCGGGUGUGUAAGCGCAGCGAUGCGUUGAGCUAACCGGUACUAAUGAACCGUGAGGCUUAACCUUACAAC